rfam:Alligator mississippiensis ScZkoYb_152, whole genome shotgun sequence.
GCCCCAAGGCAUGGCAUACUGAGAACAGGUGUUCUUAUCCGAUCUCAGAAGCUAAGCAGUCAGGGGACCUGGUGAGUUCUUGGAUAGGAGAUCUCUUGGAAAUCCUGGAUGCUUCAGGUG